UCGAACAGCCAUUUUCGGGUAAAAACGAUAACCCUUAUCCCGAUCUUUAUCUCUAGCCCUUUUUUCGAUCUGAACCUCUGAGAAUUCCCCAUAUAAGGACUCCUGCGCUCGGUUCAAAUUCAUAAUGUUAUUUGACAUUUUUCAAGUUCGGAAAGCGAUUUGAAAGUGAUUUGUGUUUCACAAUGAGGUCCGGCAUUUUGUUCAGCAAAACCGUAUGAAUUAUAUUCGUGUUGGUAUUGUCUGCAACAUGCUUACAAUGUCUGUGGUCGCGUGGGUGGGUAUUGCAAUUUUUGGCAGGAUGCCCUCUUUCCACUGUGGCGGCAAAGGGAAGCUAUUAAUUCUAGCUGCAAGAAAGUAUUAUACCCGGAUAUCUAUGUUUCGAUACUGCAAUCAUAUUAGGGCGUCCAAGGAACGAGUCCCAAGAAUUUGGCUCAUAUUACUUUGAAUUCAAGAAGCCUGCAGCUCGACUUUGAAAGUAGCAGCCACCCAGAAAAUGGUCCCCACAACUCAAUGCUUUAGAAGAUUGUAUUGAUCUGUUCGUAGAAUCUGUGGAACAUAUUAACCGGUCGUUGGGAGAAGUAGGCGGCUUGAAUGUGAAACCCUCGAAGGCCCAGAUUGCAAAUGUGAAGAUAUGGCUCAGCGUGGCUCUCAAUGACAUUUAUGAAGAAAAUGUGCGACGAAUGCGAUGAUCCUUGGCGAUGGGCGCGGGCAGACCAUCAUUGCAUCUCGCUCAAAUGUCAAAGGCGGCUCCACCGCCUUCAGGUCUAGAACCUUAGCUGCAUCCGGCAAAGGAUUUAUCAUCCGAGAUAUGACCUUCACCGACCUGGCAGAACCAGAUAAGAAUCAAGCUGUAGGUUUUUGUGUGGGGGCUAAUCUAUCAGCUUUUUACUGCUGCAACUUUAUCAACUUCCGGAACACCUUAUAUGUUCACUCCCUCCAAUUCUACAAGAAUGUAAUAUCUAGGGAACUGUAGACUUCAUCUUGGGCAACACAACUGCCUUUGUUCAAAUUGCAAUAUUAUCACGAGAACAGCGAUGGGCAAUUAGAGCAACACCAUUACUUCUCAGAGCAUAAAUGACCCCAGCCAGAACACUGGAAUUUUAAUUCAGAACUGCACCAUUGUGGCCUCCAUAGAUCUCGCUUGAGUCAGAUUCACUUAUCUUGGAAGGCCCCAUGGAAAUUGUUUUUGUGGACAAUCGUCCUUCAGAGCUUUCUAGGCUAUGUUAUCCACCCCACCGGUUGGUUGGAGUGGUUCGGGAAUUAUGGGUUAGAAAGGGUGUAUUAUGGAGUAUAUGUUAACACUGACCCCGCUCAAAGGUGGACAGACAAGUUGGAUGAGGUGUGUUAUAGAGUUAUCAACACAGUAGAGGAGGUCCUUUUUUGCACAAUUGAUAACUUCAUUUCUGGAUGUGUUUGGUUGUCCUCCACUAGAAUUUGUUUCAAUAAUAAAAUGAUUACAGAGGUCUGAUAUUCUAAUGUCUUCAUUCAAUUGAAAUAAAAUGGGUGGAGAAUUUUAACUGUCUAUGGAAUCUCAUUUGACACCUUCCUCUGCCUUGAGGUUAAAAGAUUGCUUUGUUGUUAAAGGGUGAUUGAUUUAUUAUUUCUCUUAUUAAAGGGUGUCAAUAAUAAAUGAAUCAACCUUCACACAAUUUGAAAGCAGUCUCUAACUUCUAAAAUUCUCCACUUGUUUAUUUCAGAUGAAUGAAGACAUUAGAAUUUCAUGAUCAUUUUUUGAUCGAAAGGAAUUCCAAUGGAAGGCAAUCCAAGCAGAUCCAAAAUUUUUGAAAAAAUUAGCCUCCUUCGCUCUUUUAAUAACUCUAUAAUCCUUCCAUCCAACUCGUUUGUCCACUUUUGAGCCGAGUCUGGUGUUAAUAUAUUCUCCAUAAUCUCCCAAACAGAUAACAUCGCCUAAGAAGCUCUGAAUCAUGACUAUCCAUGAAAACAAUCUCCAUGGUCUUCCGAGAUAAACGGAUGACUAAAGUGAGAUUUGUGGAGGCCACAAUAAAUUGAAUAUCAACAACAAUGGAAGCCGUACCCAAGAGAGUUUUGAGCCCAGCUUGUCCCAAGGAGAUUGAGUUCAGAUCUGAGUAUGCUCACAGAAGCAUGAAUCGGGGCAGCCAAACUCACCGUCAACCAUCUUGGCCUCUGCCUGCUGAAGUAUGCAGACUAUUCAGACCUAUGGGAGUAGUGGUUUAAUGACACAACCCCUGGGGAUAGAUCCUCUUCUUUGGGGAUACAUUGAAAGCACACCGUUCAGGGAAUUCAUUGACCACCUAAUUGGCGGCAAUGGAUUGUUUCAUGGGUUUAGCAAGGAAUUUAGAUGCAGGGCGUGGGAUCUCAAGGGAGGUUACCUGCACCGUAUAGCUAGGGAGUGAAAUUGUCAAAUUGGAUGAAGGAACCAACUCUGCCUGCUCCUGAGGGACGAUAAGUGGACAAAGCCUGGACUCCAAAUUGGACGUUAAACGUGAUCCGGUAACCUUAAUCAUUAACUAUACAAUGUUUAUUUUUUCGAUAGAAUACUUAAUUUUUUUUUCAGCAUACAAUGUGUUCACCUUGAUUUUCGUCAGACUCAACCUUCCAAGUAAUGUACAUAACCUGAGGCAGUGGAAGGGUUCAGGUUGUGGGCAUAGAUGGAGAGAGGGUGUUGGAGACACAGAUAAUGGCUGGUGUCUUCUUCGUUGUUCCAAGAUUCUUUAUGUGGUUUCUAAGGUUGCUGGAGAUGAAGGAACGGAAUGGUUCUGAAUCAUUAAUACAGCUAGCGAGUGUCCAAUUUUCCUGUGAUAAGAUGUCUGACAAUUUAUUUUUACACUCGAUUGUGAAGAUUUCAUGCAAGUUUAAGAAACUUUGAUUUAAUUUCUCAGUAAGAUUUUUUCUAAUAAAGAAUGUUUUCAUGUGUGUGUACUGUGUACAGUCCUGUGUUUUUCCAUCUGGCAUGGAGGACAUGUGUGUAGAAGGUUCUAUUUGAGGAUAUUCUUGCAGCCUUUUUCAAUGUAGGUGACAAGACAGAGGAUCUGUUUAGCUCCAAAUGAACUCAGGAGGCCAUUUUCUUCCCUCCUCCCAACCGCGGGGAUAUCUUAUUCCAAAUUAUACAGGUCUUCUGUGGAAGAGGUCUAUUGAAUUUUGGUCUGCAGUUUACGAUUUCCAGAACUGGGAUAUAAUCCCCUUGAUAUCUUACUGUAAAGCGGCGGUUAUGGUGGUUGAUAUUGGGGAAAGAGUAUCUGUCCUUCUCCAUUAUUUGGAUUAGUGUCUGAUUUGUAGUUGUUUUUUUUUGAAUUAUUAUUUAAGUCUCUAUGUAAGUCGGAUUAGCUGGAUGUACGGGAGCUAUCCUCUUUUGACAGCACUUAAUAAUAAUAAUAAAAAGUAAUUAUGUUUUUCAAAA